CUGGGAUUUCAGUCAGAAUUAAAUUUGUCCUUUGAAGUAAUUAAUUUACUCUAUUUUCAAUACAAUGACAAAGAUGUCAGUCUGAAAUGUUUAAUUUAACUUCAGUAGUAUUGUUCAUUAGUUUAUGUUAACUAAUGCAGUUAACUAGUUUUAACAAAUGGAACUGUACUGUAAAGUGUUAUCAGUCAUUUUCAUUCUACGUCUGUCGUUCAUCAAAUUGGAUUUGCAGUUCUAAUUUAAUAAUUUAAGCUCAUUCUGACUGGAUCUCAACCCGCUGAUAUUUAAACUCAUAAGUCACCUGACCUCUGAUGCAUUAUGGGAGGAUCAUCAGAUGGUACCCUUCCCUCAGGAUUCAGCAUAACUUCAUAUUCUGCAUCGAUCAGCAGCACACGGUUAUGAAAGCGAGCUGAUUCUGUCACACUGUGCAGUUGCAUCAGUUAUCGAUCGGUUAUUUUUACUUCCAGUUUGCUGCAUUAAUACUUCAGCAUGAACAUCCUCUGGAUUUGAGAUCUCUCAGUUCAGUCAGAGUUGUGAGGAAUGACGUGUUUGCUGCAUUAAUACUUCAGCAUGAACAUCCUCUGGAUUUGUUUUUAGAUCUCUCAGUUCAGUCAGAGUUGUGAGGAAUGACGUGAACAUCAGCUCUGCUGUGCUUCAUCCUGCCUUUCAGAAUGAUUGUUUUUCUCACUUGUGUCUAAUUAAAACAUGUUCACGAGUCAGAAUCGUUCUCCUGAGACUGUCCUGUUGUAUGAGCGUGAGUUCGAGCCGGUUUCUGCUCGUGAUGAUGAAUUCAGGUUCACCUCUGCAGGAAUCAGUUGCUAGGAAACAAUCAUCACAUGAAGAAAUCUCAGCGUGAAACUUUCAGAACACUGUUUGGACGAUUAAAUGAACACACAGAUCGUUAUUUCACACAAGACUCACCUUAUGUUUGUGUGACUGCAGUCAUGUGAAGGCAACAGUAGAUGCACAGGCUUGUUAUUGACUCUGGUGGGCGGGGCCGCAGCAGCACACCUGCAGCACAGACGAGGAGGAAAGUGCCAGAGCCUGGAGACGACGACGAUCAGUCAGAGAAGAAGUUCAGGAAGUGUGAGAAAUCCGGAUGUCCUGCGACAUACCCUAUGUGUUUCGCCAGCGCAUCUGAGAGGUGUGUGUGAAUGAGUGAGAGAGAGAGAGAGAGAGAGAGAGAGUGUGUGUG
rnacentral:lncRNA from 1 species